CCCUUAGAUGUUCUGGGCGGCCCGCGCACUACAAUGGCGUGUGCAGCGAGUGCCGAAGUAGAGUUUUCCGAGGUAUUCUUGCAAUGCUCGUUUUGAUGGGGAUAGACCCUUGCAACUGUUGGUUUUGAACGAGGAAUUCCUUGUAAGCAUGGUUUAUCAUCCGACGCUGAAUGCGUCCCUGCCCUUUGUACACACCGCCCGUCGCUCCUACCGAUGAGUCGUCCGGUGAAGUUCGUAGACCUCGUGAUUGUGGAUCACUGGGGGAAGCAAAAUGAACCUCGCGGUUUAGAGGAAGGAGAAGUCGUAACA
rnacentral:rRNA from 1 species